rnacentral:rRNA from 1 species
UACGUAGGGGGCAAGCGUUGUCCGGAUUUACUGGGCGUAAAGCGCGUGUAGGCGGCGCGUCAAGUCGGGUGUGAAAGCCCGGGGCUCAACCCCGGGAUGCCGCUCGAAACUGGCGUGCUUGAGGGCGGAAGAGGGGAGUGGAAUUCCUGGUGUAGCGGUGAAAUGCGUAGAGAUCAGGAGGAACACCCGUGGCGAAGGCGGCUCCCUGGUCCGUCCCUGACGCUGAGACGCGAAAGCGCGGGGAGCGAACGGG